CACGCAGUAAACGAUGCAGACUAGGCGUGGGAGGACUUGACCCCUUCCGUGCCGGAGCUAACGCACUAAGUCUGCCGCCUGGGGAGUACGGCCGCAAGGCUAAAACUCAAAGGAAUUGACGGGGGCCCGCACAAGCGGCGGAGCGUGUUCUUUAAUUCGUCGCAACGCGAAGAACCUUACCAGGGUUUGACAUAUCGCUGCAUGCCUCAGAGAUGAGGAGGCCUACGAGGGUGCGAUACAGGUGC
rnacentral:rRNA from 1 species